GACAUAAACUGGCAUGUUCUGAAAGAAUCACUCUGGAUGCUGUGUGGAGAAAACACUGAAAAGGAAUUUGUUAUCUCGAUUAUGGAGGGCGACAAGUCCCACAGUCUGCCAUCUGCAGGAUGGAGAACCAGUCUGUUUCCUUCUUCUCCAUUCCACAUAUUAUAAUGUGGCAACUACAUAACUCAUAAUUAUAGUCUUUAUAGGGGGAGAAUAAUUGACUCCAUUCAAGUGUUCGCUCCUGUUUCAAUCAACUAUGGCUGAAGAGUGAGGAGACAUUUGGAAUAAAUAUGGCUUCUGGGGGCCCAUUCCUAUGGAUCAGCAGCUGGCUUCUGGAGGCCCAUUCCUGUGAAUCGUCGAUCUCAUAGAAGAUAAUAUUGUUAGAAGGCUUACCUCAUUGAUGCUGAACAUCCUAAAAAGCUUCUGCUGCUUUGAGUCACUGAAAAAGACCAAGAAACAUGAAUUUAAAAAAAAAUUUCAAAUGUUAUAAAAUAAAUAAUAUGAACUCAUUAUACCUACAA
rnacentral:lncRNA from 1 species